UUGGAUGAGAUGAACACUGACAUUCAACAGACUGAGUACAUUGCCCUCUAGCAUUCAGGUGGGCCUCAUCUAAUCAGUUGAAGGCAUGCAGAGACAAAAGUCCCACCCUCUCUUGAGUUAAAGGGAAUUUUCCUGCCUGACAGCCUUCAAACUGGGAUGUCAGCUCUGUAGAUUUCAGACUUCCUAAUGGCAAGUCCACAUCAUGUAUCUCACUCUUGCUCUCUCUCUCUAUAUAUAUAUAUCUCCUACAGGUUUUGUUUCUCUGGAGAACCAUAACUAAUACAGGUACCUUACUAAAGAAACUGCACUUUUCUUUGAUAUCUCUUGUCCCAGCUCAGAACAAGUACCUUGAAACACUGCCAUUUUUGUGGUCAUAGAUGAUUGAAUAUUGGCAAUUUCCUAAGUUUCAAUUUGGCGUCAAUUUCUUUCUAGAUGUACUCGUGUGUUACUUGUCUCGUGCCAUUUGACUGUUAGCUCUUUUGAGUGCAGGGAUUGCGUCUGUAUUGUCACUAUUCUCUUAUAGCUCUCAAAACGGUACUAGGUAUGCCAUAGGUGCUCAAUAAAUACCUAUGAAAUGAAUACAUGAAUGGGUGAGUGAAUGAAUGAACAAAAGACAAGAUACUUUCUUUUGUAAAUUAUGAUGUCAGAAACCAGAUACUGGUUUUGUCCGUGGCAGAUACUGUUCUAGGCACUGAGGAUACAACAGAAGAGAUGUGGUGUCCCCACACUCCUUACUUUGGACAGUAAAGCAAGAUAUAGAUAACCAAAUAGCAAACCAGGAAAUUAAUAAGUUAAUUUUAGGCUGUAAUGAAGAAACACCAGGCGAUGAGCCGGAGGGGGGCGGGCAGUGGUAACUGAGUCGUCAGGGUCAUCAGGGACGGCUUCUCGGAGAAGGCGACACCAGAGCGGAGACCUCAAUGGCGAGGGAGCCAGCGCAUGAGGUCUGACAGAGGAUUCGAGCCAAGCCAACGCGACAGUUCCAAGGUAGCAAUGAGAGAAUACGGUGUUCCUUCACCUUCCAAUCACCGCGAGCAAAUAAAAGACCCCAACAUUCCCAAACAGAGCUCAGAACCUCCUCAUCUGGCUUCAAAGCUCCCCGGAAUCCCGAGGUCUAAACUAUGUUCUGACAUUUAAACACCUGAAGAGGAUUCCGGAACAUUUCCUCUGAAGCAUCUUUUACUUUUUCAAGAACGCGAGGGCCGUGGGCAUGAGGUGACUUUCUGGAGUGGUGGUUACACAGGUAGAGGCAAAGCUCCUGAAAAACCACACUUAAACUUAAAAUGUGUGCCUUUUACUGGGUCAAGUAUAUACCCCACUGAAGGGGACUGCUAAAAUGCAAGGACUCCAUCGCCCAAAGAGAAGUAACCUGCCACGAGCAAGAAUUUAUAGACUCUUCUCCAUGGGCAACAAGAUUUGCCUGCAAGGGUUUCUCCAAGCUGGGGAGCUGGUCAAAGCCAGAGGGUAACCACAGACAUGCAAGGAAAAAGGGCAGCGGGAAGAGAGAAAAGGCAAAAGGAGGGGAGACGUUUAGCGGUUGAUGCUGCCUCUUUAAAAGGGACUCCAGCUUUUCUGAAGCGUGUUUGAAAAGCACCCGGGACACUGUGCUGUGCAAUGUGCCACUUGGAUUUCUGAUUCUGUUUGAAGGUGGGCAAAAUAAUGACAUGUGUUCCCUACUGGCCUGAAGCGUAUGGAGCUUCCAACACACAUUCCUGCCCCCAAGGUCGCUUCUCAUCAACGGCUCCUUCCAAGGGCGCUGGCCCUGCCAGGGGCGGAUGCAGGAAACACUCCUGGUCUUGAUCUUACAGGGGCUCCUUGUACUGGCCCCCCUGCACGUGUCGCCAUUUGCAGAACAGCAAGCACUUCUUUGCGAUCUGAGAGCACGUUAGUCCAGCACGUGUCCACUCAAAGGCCGUGCAGCCUAGUGGUCAGGGACCUGUGCCCUGGCCUCAGACUGUCUGGGUUGGAAGUCUGACUCCUCCACUCCCCAGGGCCUCGUUCAUCCUCACGGAAUGCAAUCUGUGCCUCUUCAGAGGCACACUGUCCUAAGGCCUGCCUCACUGGGGCAGGGCCUGGAAUUAAAUGAGCACUUAUACACAAGCUCGUGGUGAAAUAGCAGGCUGGACAAGGCUUCUUUCAUAUCACCCAGGCCAACACUUUGCAAGGCAUUUAAUGAGGCCAUUCCCGGGUCUUCUCUGCUAUUCUGAACCUGUCCCCCUCUGCUGCUUAACUCUGAAGGAGUUAGAAGACUGGACCAAUGCCACACAGCUUAAAAGAUGGAACAGGGCAAGGACGAGGUACUGAGUUUCAGACUACAACAUUUACCCCUUUGGCAGGUAAGGGGUAGAAAAUUCCAGUAAUAAGGGUGAUGGCAAAGGGGUAAAACUUGCUGAGCAGUGACCAUAAAGAGGUCCUGUGCUAAGGGCCUCCCAAGUCCAGUCUCAGUGAAACCUCACACAAGCCUGGGACAUAGGGAUGACCAGGGUUUCAUUCUACAGACAAGAAUCUAAAACUCAGAGAGGCGAAGUCACGUUCCCAAGGUCACACAGCUCCUAAGCGGCCAGGCUGGAUGGAAUCUCCAGACAUCUGACUUGAGGCAGAUGCAGUGAGCCUUGACCGGAUCCGAGUUUGGGAGCUCAAGCUCCAGAGGACAUCGUUGGUACGACCAGGAAAAUGUUACCCUGAUUGGCUACUUGAUGACAAGAGCUGCAAGGUGGCAGGACAGGAAUGGGAGUCGCUCCUGGGCCCUCAGGUCGGCGGUGGAGCGCUCUCGACAGGAAUACCCAGAUCACGCGGAGCCUGAAGAUCACACAUCACCUUCUCCCGCCGCAGGCCAAAGGGAGCCGCCCACCCUUAGCUCCACUGGCACCCUCCCACCUCCCCUUCUCCCGCCUUUCCUCCCCUCCUCCACCCCCCACCCAAACACCCAGGAGGGCUUCUGUAAGCGCUGCUUUGCAAGGGAAAGGCUCAGUGGAUACUUCAGCAGAGGAAUUAACCCGAAUCUGCAAGGCAGGCUACCUAUCCCUGGGGGACUCUCUCCCUACCAAGGCGACACCCGCCGCCUGCCGCAGUCCUGCCUCGGUACUCUUCCUUCACCUCAACACAGACCCCGGGAAGCUACAGGGACUGGCGGGGACUGCGGGGAAGUGAAACUCCGGCCUGUGGGGCUUGGCGACAGGGCUUCUUGGGGGUGCAGGAGGUGGGCGGGGCCAGCGUGUUACUCGCUCAGUGGGUCAGGGUUUCCUGAAUCCCCUGGAAGCUUACUUUUGUGCUUCAAGACCCCAACAUCCACCCACCCCUCCCUGCUGACCCAAACCAAGAGGAACUUCCUCACCUCUUGCCCCAAAUCCCUCCCCUCUGGGGAAAAAAAAGAAUCAUCGGAUACUCUGCGUAUAAAUAGAAAAUAAUUACUA